UAACUCCCAUAUGAGAUAGAUGAACUAUACCUGCUCGCUAACCUCCCAAUCCAGAAAAGCAGGGUUCCUCACUGAGUCAAUGAGAAGCUCUAUCAUUUGAGGAACAUAGGUUUUUAGAGCAUCAUAGGUGUAACCCAUAUGUUCCCGAGAGGCUGAAGCCAUGACAUUGCCACCAAUUGCCUCAACUUCUCUAACAACACGCAAGUGGCUCCGAUUUGUUGUACUUUUGAAGGCCAUACGUUCCAGGAGGUGUGUGGCCCCAAAUGACGUCGGAGUUUCGACGAUAAUCACCUCCUUUAUAAACUGGCUUUGGUUCAGCUGGACGUGGCACAUUGGGUAGGUCGGAUAAAAGUGGUUCUGCAUAUUUUAACAGCUCUUCAUGGUCAACACCUGAUGCAGCAAGGACCAUCCGAGAAGCAGUAUAAUUUUCCUGUACAGUGAAAAUACCAUUCAGGAAAACAAACGACUGUUAAAUAUCAACAGAUGAGAAAUCGGAAGGGGUUAGAGUCCCAAACAGUAAAACAAUGAAAAAGUAAAGGAACAAAAAAUCAAUGAUGUAUGGGGCUCACAGCAAUGAACUCCUCCAAAACUGCACUGUUCAACCUGCUCACAGCAGAUUCCACUGCCAAAAGAGAAUUUCCAUACGGACCAGAGUAACCAGCUGAAUGAAUAGCCUCCAAAAGCAAGUGUUGAGGGUUUUUAGAGCAUUCACUAACCUCAGCGCUAACCUUAUGAAGCUGAAAUGGACAUUACUAUAUUUAUUCACACCCCCAAAACAGCCUAAAAAAUGAGCACUAACUCCCAUAUGAGAUAGAUGAACUAUACCUGCUCGCUAACCUCCCAAUCCAGAAAAGCAGGGUUCCUCACUGAGUCAAUGAGAAGCUCUAUCAUUUGAGGAACAUAGGUUUUUAGAGCAUCAUAGGUGUAACCCAUAUGUUCCCGAGAGGCUGAAGCCAUGACAUUGCCACCAAUUGCCUCAACUUCUCUAACAACACGCAAGUGGCUCCGAUUUGUUGUACUUUUGAAGGCCAUACGUUCCAGGAGGUGUGUGGCCCCAAAUGACGUCGGAGUUUCAUAUAUUGAGCCACAAUCAACAUAUAACCCAAUUGAAGCUGCUGGGUUCUGUCGAACAAACUCAAC
rnacentral:lncRNA from 1 species